rnacentral:rRNA from 1 species
GACGAACGCUGGCGGCGUGCCUAAUACAUGCAAGUCGAACGCACUCUCGUUUAGAUUGAAGGAGCUUGCUCCUGAUUGAUAAACAUUUGAGUGAGUGGCGGACGGGUGAGUAACACGUGGGUAACCUGCCCUAAAGUGGGGGAUAACAUUUGGAAACAGAUGCUAAUACCGCAUAAAACCUAAACACCGCAUGGUGUAGGGUUGAAAGAUGGUUUCGGCUAUCACUUUAGGAUGGACCCGCGGUGCAUUAGUUAGUUGGUGAGGUAAAGGCUCACCAAGACCGUGAUGCAUAGCCGACCUGAGAGGGUAAUCGGCCACACUGGGACUGAGACACGGCCCAGACUCCUACGGGAGGCAGCAGUAGGGAAUCUUCCACAAUGGACGAAAGUCUGAUGGAGCAACGCCGCGUGAGUGAAGAAGGUUUUCGGAUACGUAAACUCUGUUGUUGGAGAAGAAUGUAUCUGAUAGUAACUGAUCAGGUAGU